rnacentral:rRNA from 3 species
UUAAAUUGAAGAGUUUGAUCAUGGCUCAGAUUGAACGCUGGCGGCAGGCCUAACACAUGCAAGUCGAGCGGAAAC